GAAAAUUGCAACUUUUGGCCCAAAGGUUUGAAUAAUUAAAUUCAAACCUAUAGUUUUUUUUUAAUAUAAUUUUGGGACUCACAAUCCCAUUUUUAUAUUAUUUUUCUCUCUUCCUCUCACGUUGCUCGGCGUUUUCUCACAAGGGGGGAUUAUUUUCUUUUUCUUCAGAUUAUAUUGACAAAGAUAGUGGUGAAAAAGGAGUUGUGAAGGGGAACUUGUUAUUCAAGACACAAGGAGCGAAUCCGGCCGAGAAAGCACCAGAGGUGUAAUUAUGGUGUAUGAGACACCAUCUUUUACGUUGCCUCUUAUUUUGGAUUAUACAAUGUAUCUUGUGC